CUAGGAGGCGGUGCUGAGAUCGCAGUGAAACGGCCGUCUUCACUUUCUAGGCAGGGCUUGGAGCAAUUCAAGAACGAAGUCCAGCUGAUUGUGAAAUUGCAGCACACAAACCUGAUCCGUCUGGUUGGCUACUGCGUCAACGAGGAAGAGAAACUGCUCGUCUACGAGUACAUGCCCAACGUCAGCCUCAACUGCUUCAUUUUUUGUACCGAUCUCACCGGUAGAACUCACCAAUCUGUCUUGGUCCAUUUGAGUUUUUACUGAUGAUCCUGCGUGAGCUUGCAGACCAGCAGCGGGGACAGUUGCUGGACUGGGAGAAGCGCAGGGGCGUAGACAGGGGGGCAGUGGCCCCCCCUAUGGUCCCCAAAUUUCCAUUGAACAUUUGAAUUUUGAUUAAAUUUUUCUAUAAAUUAACAUGGUUAGCCCCUUCUAAUAAUGAAAAAAAACAAAUUCCUGGCUCCGCCCCUGGAGAAGCGUCUGCGAAUAACUCAAGGCAUUGCACAGGGGCUGAUGUACCUGCACGAGCACUCACGGGUGCGCAUUAUCCACCAUGAUCUGAAGGCCAGCAACAUUUUGCUGGACAGUGACAUGAACCCCAAGGUCUCAGACUUCGGCCUGGCCAGGAUCUUGCCCGCCAACAUGACGGAAGCCAGCACCAACAGGGUCACCGGGACAUAUGGCUACAUGUCUCCUGAGUACACUACCGGGGGCACCUUUUUCUGUUAAGUCUGACAUCUACAGCUUCGGCGUGUUGCUGCUGGAGAUCAUCAGCGGCAAGAGGAACAACGGCAACAAUCUGUACGGCGACUUCGACAACCUGCUUGAAUACGCGUGGCAGCUAUGGAGGGAAGGGAAAGUGUCCGAGCUGAUCGACCCCACGUUGGGCGAUUGCAGUCAGGUGAUGGCGUCCAUCAAACAGUGCGUCAAGGUGGCACUUCUGUGUGUGCAGGACAACGCCACGGACCGGCCAACCAUGGCAGAUGUUGCAGUGAUGCUGGUAAGUAGGGAUGGCACAACUUCGCUGCCGGACCCGAAGCGACCACAACAGCAGGUAUCAUCCUGCAGGGUCAGGAGUCAGGACUGGUGGAUUGGAGAUCCAGCCGCAGUCGCAUGGCAACACGUCUUGCACCAUUAAUGACGUAACCAUCAGCACCAUGCAAGGGCGAUGAAGCUCAUCGCGGACUAGAUUGGCAUCCAAGUUUGUGGCUCCUUUGGAGGCUGGCAAGUUCAGGGCUAGGCAGUGGCUGGAAUCACCGGCAGGGGGGCUGCUUCCUCCUCUUCUUCCUCCCCCCCUUCUUCUUCUUCUCUCCCUUCUUUCCUCUUCUUCUCCCUCCUCCUCUCCUCUAAUUUCCAUGGAGCUCAUGGGGGUAGGGGGGCUUGAGCCCCCCUUGCCCCCACGCUAAAUCCGCCCCUGGGGCUAGGCACGAGGCAUGUACAAGACCAUGGUCUCACAAGAAGAUGAUUUAUCAUUUUGUUUUAUCCUGCAUCAUAAUCAAAAGUUACUGAAUAUGGGAUAUUUUGAGAUGAAGUCCUUGUCCUUUUUGUUUAUGUGUUGCCCUGAGAACAGAUUAUAUUCAGUUUUGGACCAGCUACAUAAAUUAUGCUUGGAUUUGUGCACUUUAUGAUGCUCUCUGGCAAACUUCUGUUACCCUGAACCAUGCAGGAGCAGUAAAAAUACUAUGCUAUUCUCUCUUUUUG